rnacentral:rRNA from 1 species
GAUGAACGCUGGCGGCGUGCCUAAUACAUGCAAGUCGAGCGAACAGACGAGGAGCUUGCUCCUCUGACGUUAGCGGCGGACGGGUGAGUAACACGUGGAUAACCUACCUAUAAGACUGGGAUAACUUCGGGAAACCGGAGCUAAUAGCGGAUAAUAUAUUGAACCGCAUGGUUCAAUAGUGAAAGACGGUUUUGCUGGCACUUCUAGAUGGAUCCGCGCCGCAUUAGCUAGUUGGUAAGGUAACGGCUUACCAAGGCAACGAUGCGUAGACGACCUGAGAGACUGAUAGGCCACACUGGAACUUGAACACCGACCUUACUCCUACGGUAGGCAGCAGUAGGGUAUCUGCCGCAAUAGUCGAAAGCCUUACGCAGCAACGCCGCGUGAGUGAUGAAGGUCUUCGGAUCGUAAAACUCUGUUAUUAGGGAAGAACAAAUGUGUAAGUAACUAUGCACGUCUUGACGGUACCUAAUCAGAAAGCCACGGCUAACUACGUG